rnacentral:rRNA from 1 species
GACGAACGCUGGCGGCGUGCCUAAUACAUGCAAGUCGAGCGGAAGUUGGAGAGCUUGCUCUUCAACUUUAGCGGCGGACGGGUGAGUAACACGUGGGCAACCUGCCCUGCAGAUCGGGAUAACUCCGGGAAACCGGUGCUAAUACCGAAUAGUUUUCGCCACCUCCUGGUGGCGUACGGAAAGACGGUUUCGGCUGUCACUGCAGGAUGGGCCCGCGGCGCAUUAGCUAGUUGGUGGGGUAACGGCCCACCAAGGCAACGAUGCGUAGCCGACCUGAGAGGGUGAUCGGCCACACUGGGACUGAGACACGGCCCAGACUCCUACGGGAGGCAGCAGUAGGGAAUCUUCCGCAAUGGACGGAAGUCUGACGGAGCAACGCCGCGUGAGUGACGAAGGUUUUCGGAUCGUAAAACUCUGUUGUGAGGGAAGAACAAGUACCAACUAACUACUGGUACCUUGAUGGUACCUCACCAGAAAGCCACGGCUAACUACGUGCCAGCAGCCGCAGUAA